GACGAACGCUGGCGGCGUGCCUAAUACAUGCAAGUCGAACGAGAGCAACCGGUGCUUGCACUGGUCAAUCUAGUGGCGAACGGGUGAGUAACACGUGGGUAACCUGCCCAUCAGAGGGGGAUAACAUCCGGAAACGGAUGCUAAAACCGCAUAGGUCUUCGAACCGCAUGGUUUGAAGAGGAAAAGAGGCGCAAGCUUCUGCUGAUGGAUGGACCCGCGGUGCAUUAGCUAGUUGGUGAGGUAACGGCUCACCAAGGCCGUGAUGCAUAGCCGACCUGAGAGGGUGAUCGGCCACAUUGGGACUGAGACACGGCCCAAACUCCUACGGGAGGCAGCAGUAGGGAAUCUUCCGCAAAGGACGCAAGUCUGACGGAGCAACGCCGCGUGAGUGAAGAAGGUUUUCGGAUCGUGAAACUCUGUUGUUAGAGAAGAACAAGUGCUAGAGUAACUGUUAGCGCCUUGACGGUAUCUAACCAGAAAGCCACGGCUAACUACGUG
rnacentral:rRNA from 1 species